UAGGGUUUAGGUUUAUAGUCUAUUUUUUGGGUUUAAGGUAUAUAAUUUGGAUUUAGGGUCUAGGAUUAGGGUUUAGGGUAUAGGGUUUGGAUUUAGGGUCUAGGAUUAGAGUUUAGGGUAUAGGGUUUUGGUUUAAGGGUUUGGAUUUGAGUUUAGAAUUUAGGGUAUAGGGUUUAUAAUUUAAAAUUUAGGGUUUAGGGUUUCGCUGGAAGCGUUAGCGUCGUUAAAAUUAGCAUUUUUUAUUUUUUGUAGCUAUUUUUUGGUUAAUUUAAUAUUUUUUAAUUAAUUAUCUAUGUGGAAAAUUGAUUGGUCAUAAAUAGUGGGGUGAAUUUAAAGGUUCACCCUAGGGGGUGAACCUAAGUUCUGUCCA
rnacentral:lncRNA from 1 species